rnacentral:rRNA from 1 species
GACGAACGCUGGCGGCGUGCUUAACACAUGCAAGUCGAACGGAAAGGCCCUGCUUUUGUGGGGUUCUCGAGUGGCGAACGGGUGAGUAACACGUGAGUAACCUGCCCUUGACUUUGGGAUAACUUCAGGAAACUGGGGCUAAUACCGGAUAGGAGCUCCUGCUGCAUGGUGGUGGAUGGAAAGUGUCGGCGGUUGGGGAUGGACUCGCGGCUUAUCAGCUUGUUGGUGGGGUAGUGGCUUACCAAGGCUUUGACGGGUAGCCUGCCUGAGAGGGUGACCGGCCACAUUGGGACUGAGAUACGGACCAGACUCCUACGGGAGGCAGCAGUGGGGAAUAUUGCACAAUGGGCGGAAGCCUGAUGCAGCAACGCCGCGUGCGGGAUGACGGCCUUCGGGUUGUAAACCGCUUUCGCCUGUGACGAAGCGUGAGUGACGGUAAUGGGUAAAGAAGCACCGGCUAACUACGUG